GUAACUAGCUGCUCCUCAGAAGAAAGAAGCAUGGUUAAUCCUGACCUGGGGCAGAGUCAGAGAGAAGGUUGAAAGAUAUGUCCUAAAUGAGAUGUACACCUGGAAGCAGAAAGGAGUUCGUACCAUUCUUUCCUAUGUCACACUCCACACCAGCUGACCAGACAGACACCACUGCAGCCUCUGGAAUGUCCUCCCUGCUCCAUUUCUGCCUGUGAAGAUUUUCAAACCUGCAGACUGCUUUGUUCUCUAUGGUCUGGGCAGGUUACCUAUACUGACCACAAACCCAGACAGACUCGCGCAGGCCAAACUUGUGUGUUUAAAGUUGUCAGCAUGUCAAGCUACAGAUACAAUGAGAAAGAGCCAGAAAUCCAUUUGGAUCUCAGGGGCAUUUCUGUUGAUUAACUUUGUAUUACAAAGCAUACUGGACAUGGCAUAUGACACUGGCAUGUGUAUUUUAAACCAGUGGGGCUGAUUUUCCCCAUUCAGACCAGCAGCAAAACACUCCACAGACCUCAGAGGAGUUGCUGCUAAUUUUUACACUGGAGUGAACAAGAGGAGAACAAGCCCUAUUUGCAUGAGAUUGCCCAAUUAUUUUAACAGCAGGGUGCAAGCCAUGCCAGGCAGUAACCACACGAGGCCUGGCAAUAUGCCAGCAUUAGGACUUCCACUGGAAUAUUACCAAAUUUUAGACACAUCUCACACAUUGGAGUGACCUCCAACAUGGCCCGUGUAUUGAAAACACACACACACACACACACACACGUUAUUCCACAAUCAUGUCGGCUCUCAUGAUAUUUGAGCGCAGAAGUGGAAUGAUCUAGUGGAUAAAGUACUGUGUUGGGAGCCAGAAGACAAAGAUUCCUUACCUAAAUCUUCCACUGACCUGCAGCCUGACCUUCAGUGUGUCAUUUCUACUCUCUGGGCCUCUCCUUCUCCUGCCCUUUGUUCAUCUGAUCUAUUUAGGGCAGAAAAUUCUAUAGAUUUAGGGCUGUGUUUGUAUGGCACCUAGCACAAAGGAUCCAGGCUUGGCUGAGGCCUCUAUGAACAGUUACUGUAAUACAUAUAAAAUAUAAAAUAGACUGUCCCAGUCACCAGUAGCAAGCAUGGUAGAGGCCUUCCAAUCCCUUGGUAUAACUAAAUAGCAAUGCCUGGUAAAUUAUUUAAAGAGCAAACCUCACACAAACCAGCAACUUGGAGAGAGGGAGAGAGAGAGAGGUAAAUUAGAGUAAGCUUCCAAACUUCCCUCCCACUUUGCAGUCUCCCCCAUCUCUUCACUGGGUACAUACAGAGUUGGGAAGCACAUAGCGACCAUAGGCACUAGCCAACAGAAAUGUCUUUCAGGCAUAUUAUUUAUUUACAUUUUGGUGGCAGGUAGUAGCCAGGACCCUGUGGUCCUGGGACUUGUACACAUGUCACAUUGAGACCUUCCCCACCCUGAGAGAGGAGAGUGUAGUACCAGAAAGGACAAGGUGAUACUGGUCAGCGUGAACGACAGAAGUUACAGCAAGCCCAGUCUCACUGAUGUCAAAGUGUUGUGUGGUAUUGGUACAGGGAGGAGUUUUAAGGAGGGAUUCGAAGGAUGACAACUAAGUAACUUAAAAAAAAAAAAGCUGGGUUCAGUGCUGGGCAUUCCAGAAAGCAGAAGAUGAUAUUGAGGCCCAGGUGAAGUGCAUCUGAAUUUUGCAACGUGAAUUCUGUCACAGCACUUCUUUUUUAUUUUGUUUCAUCAACUUGUGGCCUACAAUAAUAUCUGAUAGAACACUGAAGUCCAGGAUUAUAACAGUAAGAGCAGCAAAA